rnacentral:rRNA from 1 species
AUUGAACGCUGGCGGCAGGCCUAACACAUGCAAGUCGAGCGAGCGGCGGACGGGUGAGUAAUGUCUGGAAAACUGCCUGAUGGAGAGGGAUAACUACGGGAAACGGUAGCGACUACCGCCUACACUCAGAUGUGCCCAGAGGGGAUUAGCUAGUAGGUGGGGUAACGGCUCACCUAGGGUACGAGCCCUAGCUUGUCUGAGAGGAUGACCAGCCACAUUGGAACUGAGACACGGUCCAGACUCCUACGGGAGGCAGCAGUGGGGAAUAUUGCACAAUGGGCGCAAGCCUGAUGCAGCCAUGCCGCGUGUGUGAAGAAGGCCUUCGGGUUGUAAAGCACUUUCAGCGGGGAGGCGUUACCCGCAGAAGAAGCACCGGCUAACUCCGUGCCAGCAGCCGCGGUAAUAC